GCCGGCACUCGGAGGAUGUUGGGGGUCUCCUCCAUGACUCUGACUAGCAGGUUGUCGAUGUAGUCCUCCAGCUCCCGCACCUGAAACUCCUUCUUGCUGAUGGUCUCCUUCUGUUUGAGGACUAGCUGGAUCAGCUCAUCGUGGGUCAGCUGCGCGUAGGCAAAGGCGGGAUCCGAGGGCUGGUAUUUCUUUGGAGAGGGAAGGAAGAGGGAAGGGGUUAAGAGUCAGCAGAGACAGGAACUCGCAGAGAUCAACCUGCCCCUGCUUCCCAGGUGUUAAAACACGCGCCACCACACCCGGCUUAGAAAGCCACUUUCCACAAAGGAUGAAACCAGGCGGCUGACGAGAAGAGAGAAGGACUUUGGAGUCUGUAGAGUAGGGCCGCGAGCGAUUACAAGCCUGAGCUACCACACCCUGUUUAUGUGCUCCUGAGGAUCAACCCCACGAUUCCUGAUUACUAAGCAAGAACUCCAUCAACUGAAUUAAACCCCGAGCCCUUUCCUUUUACUUACUUCUUAAAAUGACACACUCCCUGAGACGGAACCCGUGUUGGACACCGCUCCAGUCGUGAAGAACCUGAGACUAGACAGGCCACGGACCCAGGGAAAGCCAAAUACUCUGCUAAAGGGACAGAGCAAUAGAAGGACUCCUAAUGACACUCUGCCAUACCUAAGGUCUUGAGAAGUCCCAGCAACUGGACCAUCCCUCCCCUCGGGGCUCCGGGAACCCUGUGGAAGAGGAGGUAGGAAGAGUAUAAGGGGCAGAGGGAAGUACAGCAAGGCAAGAAGGACUGACAUGCCUGUGUUCCCACAGACGGGCAGCAUGCUCAGGUUCAAGCCAGGUGCCUCCCAGCACGGAGAGAGGAAGCAGACACCAGGCCCCACCUUAACUCAAAAAGCCAUCUCCAACUGACAAACAUUUACAAAGGAAACAUUAGUUUCUCCAAGUGAGUCUCCUUGGGUACACAAACCCACUUGAUGCGCAGGCCCCAUGCCCAGUGGUAGAUAGCCAACACAAAAUGAACAAUAGUAUUUUUGUAGAUUUUUUUUUUUUUGGUCUCUUAUUGCUUUAUCUGGAGGUUUUAUUUUUAAACCCUGCUGGUCAUUUGCUUAUAUAUUAUUGUUUCCAAUUUUGUGUUUUUAUUUUCUCUCUGUGUGUGUGUAUACUUUUCUGUUUUAUUCUGGCUUUUGUUUUGUUUUUACUUAUCUGUAUGUUCUGUAAAGAGAGGGGGGCAUGGAGUUGGAUGGGCCGGGAGGAUCUGGGAGGAAAGGAGGGAGGGGGAACCAUGAUCAAAUACAUUACAUGAAAAAACAUUAUUCAAAAGAAUAAAAAAUGAUUAAGAGCU
rnacentral:lncRNA from 1 species